rnacentral:sRNA from 1 species
GCUGGGUGUGGUAGCUCACACCUGUAAUCCCAGCACUUUUGGAGGCUGAGGUGGGAAGAUCACCUGAGGUCAGGAGUUCAAGACCAGCCUGACCAACAUGGUGAAAACCCAUCUCUA